rnacentral:rRNA from 1 species
AUUGAACGCUGGCGGCAGGCCUAACACAUGCAAGUCGAGCGGAUGAAGGGAGCUUGCUCCUGGAUUCAGCGGCGGACGGGUGAGUAAUGCCUAGGAAUCUGCCUGGUAGUGGGGGAUAACGUCCGGAAACGGGCGCUAAUACCGCAUACGUCCUGCGGGAGCAAGUGGGGGAUCUUCGGACCUCACGCUAUCAGAUGAGCCUAGGUCGGAUUAGCUAGUUGGUGGGGUAAAGGCCUACCAAGGCGACGAUCCGUAACUGGUCUGAGAGGAUGAUCAGUCACACUGGAACUGAGACACGGUCCAGACUCCUACGGGAGGCAGCAGUGGGGAAUAUUGGACAGUGGGCGAAAGCCUGAUCCAGCCAUGCCGCGUGUGUGAAGAAGGUCUUCGGAUUGUAAAGCACUUUAAGUUGGGAGGAAGGGCAGUAAGUUAAUACCUUGCUGUUUUGACGUUACCAACAGAAUAAGCACCGGCUAACUUCGUG